rnacentral:rRNA from 1 species
UACGUAGGGUGCGAGCGUUAAUCGGAAUUACUGGGCGUAAAGUGUGCGCAGGCGGCAGAGCAAGUCGAGUGUGAAAGCCCCGGGCUUAACUUGGGAAUUGCGCUCGAAACUACUUUGCUGGAGUGUGGCAGAGGAAGGUGGAAUUCCACGUGUAGCGGUGAAAUGCGUAGAGAUGUGGAGGAACACCAAUGGCGAAGGCGACCACCUGGACUGAUACUGACACUGAGGUGCGAAAGCGUGGGGAGCAAACAGG